AAACGCUUGCCAAUUUGCACCGCUUGCCAUUUUUUAGCUAAUUUUUCCAAUUGUGCCCCCGAUUGGGCAGCUGCUGGUUAUCAUGUCAAGGGUGAUUUCGUCUUUCUGCAAUAAAAGAAUUGGGUGCUCCCAGCCACACCUUCUGUCUUGGACACAGGAGACCCACGUGUGACUUUGGUAAAAGAGCAACUUCCCCUUUUUCUUUGUACUGCGCCAGUUUCUCUCCUCUCUCUCCGAAGUCCAGAGGUAAAUUUUCCUCCUCUGUAUCCGGAGAAGCAUGGCGGUACCAGAAGCAAGUAUUGUGGGCCUUGAGGCCAGUGCCGAGGCUCGUGGGUCUUGGCAGAGCAAGACGAUUGGGUAUUCCGGUGGUGUUGGCGGCUGAGACUGGUCGCGCGAGGUGAGAUUCUUCCCCGUUAAGGUUCACGCUUUUUUUUGACGAGCCGGAAGGUGCUCCUGUCGCCCACUUCUACCGCCUCCCUCUGUAGACCAUGUCCGCGGCUACACAACUGAUAAGACGUCGUCAUCUCUUGAUGAUUCAAACACUAACUGAUCUUCGUCCAAAAACUAAACCAUCAACAAGAUUUUGCUGAACAGUCUCUCUUGGUCGUCUCGGAUUAUCAACGGUCUCAUUCAGAGGUCUGGAACCCUCUCUCAAGAAUGAAAGUUAUUGUGCGAUGUCUUGCACUUUCCUUUCACAUUCGGGACGGCUCCUAGAAGGUAGAUUUGUUUUGUUUUAUGUACUGAUUAAUGUAGAUGUCAGUCGAAUUGAUGUACGUAUGAACUAAAAAAAAAAGCAGCCAUAAUUCCGUAAGAAGGAAUGAAAGCGUGGCCUGUUGGGCUAACCAAGUUUCUUGAACAGGCAUUUCAAUUCAACCCACCAAAAUCAAAGUUCAGAAAAAAUAUAGCAACGAUAGCCAGUAAAUUGACAAUGGAUCUGUGUAGUUGAACUUUCUCAUAUGAUCUACAGCCCAGUUUGAUUUGCUUGUCAUAACACUUCUAAGCAUUCUCUUACGGAUUGGGGAAAAAAUGAAUAGGUUCCAUUUGCGACAUAACAGAGAAAUCAACUGAAGUUUCACAUAUUCGUUUUUCCUUGAAUCAAGAAGUCCACGUGUAAUAUUUAGCUCACUUUUUGGUAAUACUUCUGAUUGGAUACAUUGAAGAAAACAAUUAGAAAAUUCAUGAUGUUGAAUGAGAGCUGGAAAAACUUUCCUUGGAGAUGAAGCUAAUAGAUGAAGAGGUUGGGUCAUUGUCAUAACUUGUUUUUAGAAAAUUGUUAAAUUCCUCUUCUUUUCUUCUUAUGGGUACAAUUAUGACGUUUAUGAUUGUUGCUCUAUUGUAUGGCCUAAGAGCAUCCACAGUGGAAUAAUCAAAAGUGGAUAAUCAAAAGGUGCCACAUCAUCUUUUGAUUAUUCAUUCAAGAGGUUGCUAAGGUUAGCAAUGUAGAGGUUCACAGUGGUACAAUCAAAAUUGAAUAAUCAAAACUUGCCACGUCACCUUUUUAACUUAUAAAAAUCUAGAAAUUGUGACAUAGAAAACAAUUUUUUUAAAAUAGUUUUCAAACUAAUAAAAAUAGGUUAUUAGAAAAAGAGAAAAUACUUUUUUGAAAACUUUGAUUAAAAAAAAAAUAGUUUUCUGGAAAAAGUUAAAAAAACAAUUUUUGAAUAGGAAAAGUUAUUUCUUUCAAAAGAACAGUUUUUGAAAAAAAGUUUUAAUAAAAAAACAGUUUAAAAAAAAUGCUGAAAAACAGUUUGAAUAAAAAAAGUGUAAAAAAACUGUUUUUGCAAAAAAAUAAAAACUGUUUUUAAAAGUAUUUAUGUUAUAAACAUGUUGAAAAUGGAAGAAAGAAAGUUUUUGUGUAAUGAUGGUAUACUUGAUUGAGAAAAUGUGAAGACAAUUAAAUUUGAUUAUUGGCAAAAGGUUGAUAGUUUUGAUUAUCCAAAGGCCAAAAUUUGAUGAGUUGCUAAGAUGUUUCUAAGUUUAGUUAUUCCAAUGUGAGCUCUUUUUGAGUAAAUGUUGCUAACUUUAUAAACCUUUUUGUUUUGAUUAUACCACUGUGAAUGCUCUAAGCUCUUGAACACAUGAGGAAGAAAAUUGAUUAGUCAACUGAGAGCAUUCGAGUUGCAAAGAUGAAGGAAGAACAAGCAAGAAAGGUGUGGGAGGCAGCAUUGUACGCUAUAAAGGAUGACGAAGCGAUUAAGUAGAAGCUAUGCGAAGAUUUGAACAAUCUGGUUCAAUAAAGUAACAACACUGAGUUUGCUAAACUGGAGGAGUUAAAAAGGCGAAUUGAAAAUUUCAACCCAAGCAAAUCAUCCAAUUCUGUACCUUAUGAUCAAAUUUAAUGUAAAAAUCAAGGAUGCAACUGGAUCCAUUGUUGCAACUGUAUUUGCAGAAAAGACAGAAGAGCUCUAUACCAUUACGGCAGCAGAAUUCACUGACAAUACAAGCAUUGUAUGUUACAAAGUAGAUAUCGUAGCAAAUCUUUUAGUUUGUAUAUAACGCCUUCAUCUAAUUAUAUAAUUUCCAGUGAUCCCUUAUUUAACUAGGCACAUCUCCA